rnacentral:rRNA from 1 species
UUUAUUGGAGAGUUUGAUCCUGGCUCAGGAUGAACGCUGGCGGCGUGCCUAAUACAUGCAAGUCGAGCGAAUGGAUUGAGAGCUUGCUCUCAAGAAGUUAGCGGCGGACGGGUGAGUAACACGUGGGUAACCUGCCCAUAAGACUGGGAUAACUCCGGGAAACCGGGGCUAAUACCGGAUAACAUUUUGAACCGCAUGGUUCGAAAUUGAAAGGCGGCUUC